rnacentral:rRNA from 1 species
AACUUUCAACAACGGAUCUCUUGUUCCAGCAUCGAUGAAGAACGCAGCGAAAUGCGAUAAUGUAUUGUGAAUUGCAGAAUUCCGUGAAUCAAUCGAAUCUUUGAACGCACAUUGCGCCCUCCGGUAUUCCGGGGGGCAUGCCUGUCCGAGCGUCAUUUACACAAAUCAAGCGCG